GCGCAAAGGGUUGACAAACAGGUUCUUAGGGCCCCCUUAAAUAGAUAUGUGUCACAACAGUUGUCUAACUACUCCGAGGAAGCUAGUAGGCAACUGUUCCGGAGUAGAGACGACAAGAGCAACCCUCUUCGCAGCUUUGUGAAGAAAAUCAAAAAGGGCUGCAAGAAGUUAGCGGCUAAGCUGAGCUGUGCAGACACGACAUAUGAGCCUCCGUUGCACCCCAUGUUGUCUAGGAGCUAGACGGCCUCGAUGUCCACCAGAGCUACUUCGGCUAGGGCCGCUUCCUCCUCUGUACGUACUCCGCAGUACACAGGGAAGGGUCCAGCGGACGUGGACGAUGACGACGAGGCCCUUCAGUACUCCACGACUAGUGGCGACGACGACGACGAC